rnacentral:tRNA from 1 species
GGCUGGGUAGCUCAGUGGAUUGAGAGCCAAGCCCUAGAGGUGGGAAGGCCUAGGUUCGAAUCCGGCCUCAGCCA